rnacentral:rRNA from 1 species
UGGGGAAUAUUGGACAAUGGGGGCAACCCUGAUCCAGCAAUGCCGCGUGUGUGAAGAAGGUCUUCGGAUUGUAAAGCACUUUCGACGGGGACGAUGAUGACGGUACCCGUAGAAGAAGCCCCGGCUAACUUCGUGCCAGCAGCCGCGGUAAUACGAAGGGGGCUAGCGUUGCUCGGAAUGACUGGGCGUAAAGGGCGUGUAGGCGGUUUACACAGUCAGAUGUGAAAUCCCCGGGCUUAACCUGGGAGCUGCAUUUGAUACGUGUAGACUAGAGUGUGAGAGAGGGUUUGUGGAAUUCCCAGUGUAGAGGUGAAAUUCGUAGAUAUUGGGAAGAACACCGGUGGCGAAGGCGGCAACCUGGCUCAUGACUGACGCUGAGGCGCGAAAGCGUGGGGAGCAAACAGGAUUAGAUACCCUGGUAGUCCACGCCUGUAAACGAUGUGUGCUAGAUGUUGGGUAACUUUGGUUGUUCAGUGUCGCAGUUAACGCGUUAAGCAC